rnacentral:tRNA from 2 species
GCGGCAGUGGCGGAAUUGGCAGACGCGUAAGAUUCAGGUUCUUAUGGGCGCUAUGCUCGUGGAGGUUCAAGUCCUCUCUGCCGCACCA